rnacentral:lncRNA from 1 species
CUGAACUCACCUGUCACCCCUUCUAUGAGAGGGGGUAAAAGGAAGAUAGAAGAAGAUGCUGUUCUGGAUGAGCCCCAGUGCUGGAUAGAAACAAUCCUGAAAGACCUUCCAGAUAAUGAUUCACAGGAUCCCACCUAUGAGCCCUCCAAAUCAGAAUCUGACAGUGAGGAGUAUAAGUCGCAGAAUGACACCGAGGGUGACCUGGAAUACGAGGAGAAGAAUGGUUUGGUGAUGCUGAAGGAAGACCCAAUUUCACCGCAGGGCCAAAAUGGAGAGGGCACUGCAGCAGAAACACCCCAAACAGCAGAUGCUAGAGAAGAACUAGUGGCAUCAGAAACGUCUGGAGAUGACGCCAAACUUCCAGAGUACUGUCUUCUGGCAAGCAGUGGCACUUGCUCCCGAAAGAGCUUAGGAAGUACAGAAAUCACAGCCACAUCCAUCCAAGGCUGUGGCACAGUUGAUAACAAUGACUCUCAAGAUGUUUGGACAGAAGCCAGUUGCCCCGGUAAGGAUUUUCUCUUUGCUUGCUAUAAUCAAAGACCCCCUUCAUCUGUGGAGACCUCAUGGAGUGACUCUGACCCAGUCACUAUUUCUCAGCUCAUAGCAAUAGUGGUCUUGGCUACCAGUUCAGCCCAGUACAGCCAAACUACUGUUUCGGCAGAACAGUAG